rnacentral:rRNA from 1 species
UACAGAGGGUGCGAGCGUUAAUCGGAAUUACUGGGCGUAAAGCGUGCGUAGACGGCUAUCUAAGUCGGGUGUGAAAGCCCCGGGCUCAACCUGGGAAUUGCAUUCGAGACUGAAUAGCUAGGGUACGGUAGAGGGAAGUGGAAUUUCCGGUGUAGCGGUGAAAUGCGUAGAUAUCGGAAGAACAUCAGUGGCGAAAGCGACUUCCUGGACCAGUACCGACGUUCAGGCACGAAAGCGUGGGGAGCAAACAGG